AUGAGUAUGGGAGAGGAAGGAGUUGGCAGAAGUGAGGCCUUUGGAUCUUCUGGUUCGGUGAGGAUGGCCACCAUGUAUAGGGCUGGAGCAUCAGGGCCAAAGCAAAAGGUGCCCUUCCACAUCCCCACCAUCCCACGCCCGCAGGACGUGCACCGCAUUGUGGUGGACAACACGAGGAAGCCAUUCGACCAUGCUUUCCUUGAGCGCAGCGAUGAUGGUGCCCAUGCCAUACCCCCACUGGAAAAACUUCCCAUGGAGCAACUAUUUGACAGGCGUGUUCCUGAAAGUGAGCCAUUAAAACCACCUGCUUCAGAUGACACCCCUUUUACAUUUGUUGAAAACCGGAAAACCUUGGAAGUGUUGGUGACAAAGGCACAAGGCUGA
rnacentral:rRNA from 1 species